GGGCAGGUGGUGGAAUGGUAUACACGUCAGUUUUAGGAACUGAUGCCGCAAGGCGUGAGGGUUCAACUCCCUCCCUGCCCA
rnacentral:tRNA from 1 species